rnacentral:lncRNA from 1 species
UGCAAGUACUGCAGCUUAUCUGAUUAAUAGGUCUCCGUCCAGCAGUAUAGGGUUUAAGACCCCACAGGAGUUGUGGACGGGAGAGCCUCCAAAUCUAGAACACUUGAGGGUGUUUGGAUGUGCUGCAUAUGCACACCAAUCUGAAGGGAAACUUGAGCCGAGGGCUGUCAAGUGUGUGAUGUUAGGGUAUCCCGAGGGUGUGAAGGGCUAUAGGUUAUGGGUUUUAGGGGUCCAAGGCAUUAAGAUUAUUAACAGCAGGAAUGUAGUCUUUAAUGAAUCUGAGAUGCCAUGUCUAAAACAGAAAACCGAAGAAACUAACAAAUCUGAAACUGAGAAGAGUAUUCAGACUGAGGUGAAGCUGACUAGGCUAAAUUUACCUACACCUGGGAAUGACGAAAAUGACCCUAUACAUCAUGAAAAUGAAAAUGAAAUUGAAAUUGAACCUGAACCUGAACCUGAAGAGGUGACUGAACUUCAAGAUAACAUUGAACCAGUUGAAGUUGAACAUUUUAAUGAUCAGCCACCUAAUCAAGAUUAUCAGCUUACUAGGGAUCGGGG